rnacentral:rRNA from 1 species
AACGAACGCUGGCGGCAGGCUUAACACAUGCAAGUCGAACGCAUCCUUCGGGGUGAGUGGCAGACGGGUGAGUAACGCGUGGGAACGUGCCCUUCAGUUCGGGAUAACCCAGGGAAACUUGGGCUAAUACCGGAUACGUGCGAGAGCAGAAAGAUUUAUCGCUGAAGGAACGGCCCGCGUCUGAUUAGCUAGUUGGUGGGGUAAUGGCCCACCAAGGCGACGAUCAGUAGCUGGUCUGAGAGGAUGAUCAGCCACAUGGGGACUGAGACACGGCCCAAACUCCUACGGGAGGCAGACGUGGGAAAUAUUGGACAAUGGGCGCAAGCCUAAGCCAGCCAUGCCGCGUGAGUGAUGAAGGCCUUAGGGUUGUAAAGCUCUUUCGUCCGGGACGAUAAUGACGGUACCGGAAGAAGAAGCCCCGGCUAACUUCGUGCCAGCAGCCGCCGCCG